UACGGAGGGAGCUAGCGUUGUUCGGAAUUACUGGGCGUAAAGCGCACGUAGGCGGCUUUGUAAGUUAGAGGUGAAAGCCCGGGGCUCAACUCCGGAACUGCCUUUAAGACUGCAUCGCUUGAAUCCAGGAGAGGUGAGUGGAAUUCCGAGUGUAGAGGUGAAAUUCGUAGAUAUUCGGAGGAACACCAGUGGCGAAGGCGGCUCACUGGCUCGACACUGACGCUGAGGUGCGAAAGCGUGGGGAGCAAACAGG
rnacentral:rRNA from 1 species